rnacentral:misc_RNA from 1 species
AAGGAGUCUAACAUCUAUGCGAGUGUUUGGGUGUCAAACCCGUGCGCGUAAUGAAAGUGAACGGAGGUGGGAGCUUCGGCGCACCAUCGACCGAUCCUGAAGUUUACGGAAGGAUUUGAGUAAGAGCAUAGCUGUUGGGACCCGAAAGAUGGUGAACUAUGCCUGAAUAGGGUGAAGCCAGAGGAAACUCUGGUGGAGGCUCGCAGCGGUUCUGACGUGCAAAUCGAUCGUCAAAUUUGGGUAUAGGGGCGAAAGACUAAUCGAACCAUCUAGUAGCUGGUUCCUGC